GGAGAGAUGGCUGAGAGGCUUAAGGCGGCGGUCUUGAAAACCGUUGAGGAUAUUAUCCUCCGUGAGUUCGAAUCUCACUCUCUCCGCCA
rnacentral:tRNA from 1 species